AGUGAACGCUGGCGGUAGGCCUAACACAUGCAAGUCGAACGGCAGCACAGUAAGAGCUUGCUCUUACGGGUGGCGAGUGGCGGACGGGUGAGGAAUACAUCGGAAUCUACUUUUUCGUGGGGGAUAACGUAGGGAAACUUACGCUAAUACCGCAUACGACCCACGGGUGAAAGCAGGGGAUCUUCGGACCUUGCACGAUUGAAUGAGCCGAUGUCGGAUUAGCUAGUUGGCGGGGUAAAGGCCCACCAAGGCGACGAUCCGUAGCUGGUCUGAGAGGAUGAUCAGCCACACUGGAACUGAGACACGGUCCAGACUCCUACGGGAGGCAGCAGUGGGGAAUAUUGGACAAUGGGCGCAAGCCUGAUCCAGCCAUACCGCGUGGGUGAAGAAGGCCUUCGGGUUGUAAAGCCCUUUUGUUGGGAAAGAAAAGCAGCAGGUUAAUACCCCGCUGUUCUGACGGUACCCAAAGAAUAAGCACCGGCUAACUUCGUG
rnacentral:rRNA from 1 species